rnacentral:lncRNA from 1 species
GGAUCCUAAAAAUCAUUUGAAAAGAAAAAAGGCCAAGAAGAGCCACAAUAAUCUUCUUCCUUUUAAAGAAGGUGAAGAAUUGUCCUAACAUACAAUAGUGUGGUACAGGAACAGGCAAACAGAUGAAGUGAAUGAGACACAAAGGUUAGAAGCAAACCUGUCUUUGUAUGGGAAUGUGGUAUGUGGUAGAGGUCACAUUACAAACCACAGAAAAAGCAUGGAAGGUUCAUUAAGUGGUUCUGAAACAUGGAAAGGUAAAAUUGAAGACAAAGGUGAAAGAAACAAAGAUCUUUAACACUUUAAAAAGCAAAUAUAUGAAAAUGUCUUUAUGACCUCUGGCCAAAGAUUUCUUAAAACACAAAAGCAAAGCCAUAAAAGAAUAUGCUGCUAAAUUAACUAAUGAAACUUUAAAAAAAAUUUUUUUCAUGAAGAAACAACGUAAAGUACAAAGACAAGCCACAGACUGGAAGAAGGUAUCUGCAAUGCAUAUAAUCAAUAAAGGAUUAGUGUCUGUAAUAUAUAACUCCUAUGAAAAUAAACAAAGAUAUUAUCAGACACCUUAGAAGAAAAAACCUAAAUGAUCAACAAACACAUGAAAAUAAAUUCGAUCUCACUAGUAAUUAGGAAAAUGAAAAUUAAAAUAUAUUUUACCACCAUUCACAGUCAGCCAACUAGCAACAAUUUAAAAGUCUUGGUGGGGAACAGAAAUACAUAAUACCUAGUAGAGUUGAAGAUGUGAAUAGCCUAUAACCUAGCAUUUUCCAUUUCUAAGCCUCAAUCUUCAAUCAAGUCACACACAUAUUUUUAAAAACCAUGCACUUGGAUGUUCAUUGUGUCACUGUAAUACUAAAAAUGUCAAAGCAACAUUUUUAGUAUUUCUUAGUAUCUUUUAGAGUUAGAAUGGAUAUAUGAACUGUGGUUUACUACUUCAAUGAACUAUCAUACAGCAGGCAAAAUAAAUGAACUCAUUAUAUCAACACCUGUUCUAUAUUCCAAGUUAAAUUUCUCUAGCUAUUUCCAGACCAGACCUUGAAUUUCCACCUUUGUGCCAGUGCUCAUGGUUAUUGUCUUUCCUCUCACUUUUAGCCCAAAUUUUAAUGAUAUAAUUUAAAUGCCCCUUCCUCCUAAAACAUCCCAGGAUCCUUUAAAUUCUGAUAUUAGAAAUUAGAAAACCAAGACCAAAAAAAGUUGAGUCAUGCUAAGUUCACAUGGCAGAUGACUGGCAGAAUUGGAACCAGAACCCUGGUCUUUAUAUCCGUCUUUAUACCCAUGCAAGGCCACAGAUAAUCUCAAAAGAUGAUAAAAUACAGAACAAAUCCCAAUUCCUAGCCUAGGCCACUUUAUCCCACAAACAUCCCUGGAACAGCUGUGGUCCCAGCUUCUACAACCCCUUCUAGCCUGUGAAGUGUUAAGAUCUGGCUUCACUACUAUGUGACUAUGAGUCUAUGUGACGUUGAGUAAGUCAAACUCUCUUGUGCCUCAGUUUCCUUAUCUGUUAGCUGCCAAUAAUUCCUGCCUGGCUACUGCAUAAGCUCAUUAAUAGAAUCAAACGAAAUAAACGAUAAUAAACUAGAAUUGUAUUAAAUACAUAGAAAUAUUUACCUUUUUAUUAUUUUCAAGAUAUAGAAAUGCCUGCCCUCUUGCUAAAAGAAUCAUGGGAUGUCUGAUUUGUAAAUAAAUUUAAUUUUGAGAGUUUGCCAUUGCUUGGUGAUGGAGGGGAGAUGUUGUCCUUAUACAAGAAGCAGGACUCUGAAAGCUCUACUCCCUUUUCCUGCCCUCUUCUGCUUGGAGGUUUUGUGCCACUGAGUUCCUUGGCACAGGAGGACCAGCAGGCAGACUGGGGUCCCCGGAGGCGGGAGCAGCCAGCCCUGACAAAAUACUGAAGUUGGUCAAGAUUGUCUUUAAAAUCUCUUCCCUGUGCUCUUUCCCCCGGUUUAGCCUUCGCUACAUCUUUCCUGGGUUACUGAGGAAGGGGUUCUAUACAACCUCCUCCCUCUCCACCAACCACUAUUCAGUUUCCCACCAUUCAAGAUCUACAAGGGGCCAGGCGCGGUGGCUCACGCCUGUAAUCCCAGCACUUUGGGAGGCCGAGCUGGGCGAAUCACUUGAGGCCAGAAGUUUGAGACCAGCCUGGCCAACAUGGAGAAACCCCAUCUCUACUAAAAAUACAAAAAUUAGCCAGGUAUGUGGCACACAUCUGUAAUCCUGGCUACUCGGGAGGCUGAAGCAGGAGAAUUGCUUGAACCCGGGAGGCAAAGGCUGCAGUGAACUGAGAUCACACCACUGCACUCCAGCCUGGGUGAUAAGAGUGAGACUCCAUCUCUAAAAAAAAAAUAAAAAUAAAAAAGACCCACAAGGACCAAAGACUACGAGGUUGGGAAAUGUGCCUGGCCCCAUUUUGGCAGAGUCAGUAUUCAACAAAUGCUGAACUGAGCCAAAAGGACUGCCUGUGUGUCUUCCCCAUUAACCAGCAGCUUUGUCCUAAGCAGGUCCUCCUGUUCACAAGGAAAACGUCUGAUGGUUCCCUUCCCACAGACUACUGGGGACCACUGCAUUUGCCCUCCCCUCCUAGGCUCUAUGCAUUUUCAGACAGGCCCCUGGAGAGGAAUGGUAAACCUGGGGGCGGUCACAUAGGGCAGUUAGGGCAGUGGAGGGAGGAACAACGGUUGAGAGUGUAGGGGCUUGAGGACUCUACUCCCUUCCCUUUCUUGCCCUGACUCCUCUGCUGCAGCCCAGAGGUGUCACACCACCAUGUUCCCUGACAUCAGCAGGCAGGUGGCCUGAGGUGUCUACAGUCAGAGCUACGGCUGAGAAAGGCUUUGAAGUUACACAGGUUAUGUUACCUCUCUUUUUUCAUUUUUAAAAUAAAGAAAUAUUUUCCAUUCUCCUGCUUUACAAAGCUGUUAAGAAGAUUAAAUGUAAAAACGAGUAAAAAGAGAAGUAGGACAGUCAAGUCUGCCAGGCCCUCCUGCCUGUGACCCUUGGGUCGCUGCCAGCUUGGACCUCAGUCCAGCUUCCCAGGGCUCCCUCCGAUGGUCCUCCUCUCACCCAGACCAAGGACACUAGGACUAAACAUGGGAGGCCCCGCCCUCCUGAGUGACUCUUUAUCUAUACAGGAUUGUAUUCUCUGCCAAAUAGACCAAAAGGAAGGAAGGCCGGCAAGACAUUAGCUCUUUUCUUAGCUCUCAAAUAGCUGACAUUUCAGGAAACUGAAAUUCUGAAUGGGACCAGAGGUGAUUUCAAUUCAUUGUGCCUGUCUGCAGAGUCAGUCUAUAUGAGGACUCCAUUAUAUAGGACGUACUUCUAGAAGUUCAGCGAAACCCUUGUCAAUAAAUCUCUUU